rnacentral:rRNA from 1 species
GACGAACGCUGGCGGCGUGCCUAAUACAUGCAAGUUGAGCGCUGAAGGUUGGUACUUGUACCGACUGGAUGAGCAGCGAACGGGUGAGUAACGCGUGGGGAAUCUGCCUUUGAGCGGGGGACAACAUUUGGAAACGAAUGCUAAUACCGCAUAAAAACUUUAAACACAAGUUUUAAGUUUGAAAUAUGCAAUUGCAUCACUCAAAGAUGAUCCCGCGUUGUAUUAGCUAGUUGGUGAGGUAAAGGCUCACCAAGGCGAUGAUACAUAGCCGACCUGAGAGGGUGAGCGGCCACAUUGGGACUGUGACACGGCACAAACUCCUACAGGAGGCAGCAGUAGGGAAUCGUCGGCAAUGGACGAAAGUCUGACCGAGCAACGCCGCGGGAGUGAAGAAGGUUUUCGGAUCGUAAAACUCUGUUGGUAGAGAAGAACGUUGGUGAGAGUGGAAAGCUCAUCAAGUGACGGUAACUACCCAGAAAGGGACGGCUAACUACGUG